rnacentral:rRNA from 1 species
CAGGUAGUUGGCGGAGUAAUAGCCCACCAAGCCUACGAUCAGUAGCUGAUGUGAGAGCAUGAUCAGCCACACGGGCACUGAGACACGGGCCCGACUCCUACGGGAGGCAGCAGUAAGGAAUAUUGGUCAAUGGGCGAAAGCCUGAACCAGCCAUGCCGCGUGGAGGAUGAAGGUCCUCUGGAUUGUAAACUUCUUUUAUUUGGGACGAAAAAAGGGAAUUCUUUCUCACUUGACGGUACCAGAUGAAUAAGCACCGGCUAACUCCGUGCCAGCAGCCGCGGUAAUACGGAGGGUGCAAGCGUUAUCCGGAUUCACUGGGUUUAAAGGGUGCGUAGGCGGGCAGGUAAGUCAGUGGUGAAAUCUUUGGGCUUAACCCGAAAACUGCCAUUGAUACUAUCUGUCUUGAAUAUUGUGGAGGUGAGCGGAAUAUGUCAUGUAGCGGUGAAAUGCUUAGAGAUGACAUAGAACACCAAUUGCGAAGGCAGCCCACUACACAAAUAUUGACGCUGAUGCACGAAGGCGUGGGGAUCAAACAGGAUUAGAUACCCUGGUAGUC